rnacentral:rRNA from 1 species
GACAGAGGAUGCAAGCGUUAUCCGGAAUGAUUGGGCGUAAAGCGUCUGUAGGUGGCUUUUUAAGUCCGCCGUCAAAUCCCAGGGCUCAACCCUGGACAGGCGGUGGAAACUACCAAGCUGGAGUACGGUAGGGGCAGGGGGAAUUUCCGGUGGAGCGGUGAAAUGCGCAGAUAUCAGGAGGAACACCGAUGGCGAAGGCAGGGUCUCUGGGCAUUAACUGACGCUGAGGAGCGAA